UUUGCGGUGUACCGAUACCCGCUCAAUGCACUGCCGGUACCCAACCCCAGUACCGGCACUCGGCAUCCGGUACCGGUACCCAAUACUCCAGAUCUCAAACCCGAGAGCAGCUACUCUCAGUCACGCAUUAGGGUACCGAUACCUCACCCAGGUACCAGUACUCAACACCUCAAAAUCUGAAUUUACAGAUUUUGGUGCUAAGUACUCCUCCUCGCGUUCUCAAUACAUGAGUAAUUGGUCAGUACUCAGUCAACGACCUUUAAAAUCACCAGGAAUAGCGCAAAACACUAUUCUAACUCUACAAUUUGUUAAAGUUUAGUGUGCUACAGAAUAACUUAAUUUUCACCUUUAAAUAUUCUACACCAUGGUUCCAGAACAGUAUCAUAUGAUAUUCAU
rnacentral:lncRNA from 1 species